GGUUAGCCGGGAGCUAAGGUGAGGCCGAAAGGCGUAGCCGAUGCACAUACGGUGGAGAUUCCGUAGCCGUCGAAAUAUUUAAGCAAAGGGACACUUAUGAAGGACAUGACCCGGGCGAUGGUAGCCCCGGGCGUAAGGGACUGAAAACAAGUAAGGAAGCAUGUUUGGAUUAAGGCGAGAAAAGCUUUGUGUAUAUAUGAGACGUCCGUACCGCAAACCGACACAGGUAGUCAGGAAGAGGAUUCUAAGGCCAACGGGAGAAGGGUAGUUAAGGAACUCGGCAAAUUGACCCCGUAACUUCGGGAUAAGGGGCGGUGCGUAAGCACCCGCAGUGAAUAGGUCCAGGCGACUGUUUAUCAAAAACACAGCUCUCUGCUAAAUCGAAAGAUGACGUAUAGGGGGUGACACCUGCCCGGUGCUGGAAGGUUAAGAGGAGGAGUGCAAGCUCCGAAUUGAAGCCCCAGUAAACGGCGGCCGUAACUAUAACGGUCCUAAGGUAGCGAAAUUCCUUGUCGGGUAAGUUCCGACCCGCACGAAUGGUGUAACGAUCUGGACGCUGUCUCAACUGCCCACCCGGCGAAAUUGUAGUACCGGUGAAGAUGCCGGUUACCCGCGGCAAGACGGAAAGACCCCAUGGAGCUUUACUGUAACUUGAUAUUGGGUCUUGGUAUUCUAUGUACAGGAUAGGCGGGAGACUAUGAAACAUACACGCCAGUGUAUGCGGAGUCACCCUUGGGAUACCGCUCUUAGAGUACUGAGAUUCUAACCUGCGGCCGUGAAUCCGGUCGGGGGACAUUGUCAGGUGGGCAGUUUGACUGGGGCGGUCGCCUCCUAAAAGGUAACGGAGGCGCUCAAAGGUUAGCUCAGCACGGUCGGAAACCGUGCCUCUGAGUGCAAACGCAAAAGCUAGCCUAACUGCGAGGCUGACGGGCCGAGCAGUAACGAAAGUUGGAGUUAGUGAUCCGGCGGUAUGUGAAUGGAAAUGCCGUCGCUCAACGGAUAAAAGCUACCCUGGGGAUAACAGGCUGAUCUCCCCCA
rnacentral:rRNA from 1 species